rnacentral:rRNA from 1 species
AUUGAACGCUGGCGGCAGGCCUAACACAUGCAAGUCGAACGGUAGCACAGAGAGCUUGCUCUCGGGUGACGAGUGGCGGACGGGUGAGUAACGUCUGGGAAACUGCCCGAUGGAGGGGGAUAACUACUGGAAACGGUAGCUAAUACCGCAUAACGUCGCAAGACCAAAGUGGGGGACCUUCGGGCCUCACACCAUCGGAUGUGCCCAGAUGGGAUUAGCUAGUAGGUGGGGUAAUGGCUCACCUAGGCGACGAUCCCUAGCUGGUCUGAGAGGAUGACAAGCCACACUGGAACGGAGACACGGUCCAGACUCCUACGGGAGGCAGCAGUGGGGAAUAUUGCACAAUGGGCGCAAGCCUGAUGCAGCCAUGCCGCGUGUAUGAAGAAGGCCUUCGGGUUGUAAGGUACUUUCAGCGGGGAGGAAGGCGGUGAAGUUAAUAGCUUCACCGAUUGACGUUACCCGCAGAAGAAGCACCGGCUAACUCCGUGCCAGCAGCCGCCGUAA